AAGGGGUUUGGAUCCUGGCUCAGGGUGAACGCUAGCGGCGCGCCUUAGGCAUGCAAGUCGAACGACCGGCUUCGGUCGGGAGUGGCAGACGGGUGAGUAACGCGUGAGAACGUACCCUUUAGUGGGGAAUAACUCCGCGAAAGCGGGGCUAAUACCCCAUGUUAUCGCAAGAUCAAAGAGUGUAACUACUCGCUAAAGGAGCGGCUCGCGUCCUAUCAGCUUGUUGGUGGGGUAAUGGCCUACCAAGGCUACGACGGGUAGGAGGUCUGAGAGGAUGAUCUCCCACAAUGGUACUGAGACACGGACCAUACACCUACGGGUGGCAGCAACCGGGAAUCUUGCGCAAUGGGCGAAAGCCUGACGCAGCGACGCCGCGUGGAGGAUGAAGGCCUUCGGGUUGUAAACUCCUUUUAUUAGGGAAUAAUUUUGACUGUACCUAAUGAAUAAGGGCCUGCUAACCACGUGCCAGCAGCCGCGGUGAAACGUGGGGCCCAAGCGUUACCCGGAAUUACUGGGCGUAAAGCGUGCGCAGCCGGUUUUGUAAGUCUUUAUUUAAAUCUGUGGGCUCAACCCGCAAACUGGUGAGGAUACUGCAGAACUUGAUGGUCAAAGGGGAUGCCGGAACAGUUGGUGGAGUAGUGAAAUGCGUUGAGAUCAACUGGAACACCAAAGGCGAAGGCAGGCAUCUGGGUGGGCACAUGACGGUGUUGCACGAAAGCGUGGGGAGCGAAACGGAUUAGAU
rnacentral:rRNA from 1 species